rnacentral:rRNA from 1 species
UACGAAGGGGGCUAGCGUUGUUCGGAAUUACUGGGCGUAAAGCGCACGUAGGCGGUGUUCCAUGUCAGAGGUGAAAGCCUGGGGCUCAACUCCAGAAUUGCCUUUGAAACGGGGACGCUUGAGUCCGAGAGAGGAUGGCGGAAUUCCUAGUGUAGAGGUGAAAUUCGUAGAUAUUAGGAAGAACACCGGUGGCGAAGGCGGCCAUCUGGCUCGGUACUGACGCUCAGGUUCGAAAGCGUGGGGAGCAAACAGG